AUGGGAGUAAUGUUGGAUCAACGUGAAUACUUUAGGGAUUAUCUCUUGACUCAAAAGGGAAAACUUUUAUGGGAUCAAAUUGAAAUGUUGCAAUGGUAUGCUUGGAAUCUAUGCUUGAGAUAUGAUUAUACUUGUUGCUCUAAGAUUGAAGUUCCACACCUUUCCUAUUCAUGCGAAUUUAAUGAUAAUGAAACCUUAGCUUCUUAUGCUAGUGGUAUAUAUGAUUACUAUGAUGUGGAACAAAUAGAAGAAUUUGUUGCUUUUAAGGGUGCAUAUGAAAUUGAAUCUUUGUUUGAAAAGUUUAAGGAUUUUGAUGAUUCAGUUUAUAGACCUGAAAAUCUUGCUAUCCUUAAAUAUCGCUAUGAUAAUUAUAAAUACAAUUAUGAUAUUGAUGUAUUUAUUGAGAAUAACUCCGCUGUCCAAGAAAAUAUUAAUAUUUUGCAGGAGUCUAUGGAAGAAGAAAUUCAUGAAACUGCGAGCUCAUUGGAUGAAAAAGAUGAUGAGGAGAGCGAAGAACAAAAGGAGGAAGAGCGGAUUAGCUACCCGUGCCUACCUUCUAAUGAGAGUAACUCUUAA
rnacentral:rRNA from 1 species